GACGAACGCUGGCGGCGUGCUUAACACAUGCAAGUCGCACGAAGUGGCGAACGGGUGAGUAACGCGUAAUCAACCUGCCCUUCAGAGGGGGACAACAGCUGGAAACGAAUGCUAAUACCGCAUACUGAAGGAGGGGAUUGCGUGUGAUUAGCUAGUUGGAGGGGUAACGGCCCAACAAGGGGAUGAGCAGUAGCCGGCCUGAGAGGAUGAACGGCCACAUUGGGACUGAGACACGGCCCAGACUCCUACGGGAGGCAGCAAGGGGGAAUCUUCCGCAAUGGACGACAGUCUGACGGAGCAACGCCGCGUGAGUGAUGACGGCCUUCGGGUUGUAAAGCUCUGUUAAUCGGGACGCGGGACCGGAAGAGAAAGCCACGGCUAACUACGUGCCAGCAGCCGCGGUAAGGC
rnacentral:rRNA from 1 species